CAGGUGUGCAGUGUGAAGUGCAGCUGGUGGAGUCUGGGGGAGGCUUGGUCCAGCCUGGGGGGAGCCCCAGCCUUGGGAUUCCCAAGUAUUUUCAUUCAGUGAUCAGGACUGAACACACCGGAAUCACCAUGGAGUUUGUGCUGAGUUGGGUUUUCCUUGCUGCUAUUUUAAAAGGUGCCCAGUGUGAGGUGCAGCUGGUGGAGUCUGGGGGAGGCUUGGUACAGCCUGGGGGGUCCCUGAGACUGUCCUGUCCAGCCUCUGGAUUCACCUUCAG
rnacentral:lncRNA from 1 species